ensembl:lncRNA
UGGCGCGCGCCAAAAUACAAUAAGAAAAAGAAAACAAACGUUACAGGUGUCUCGGAGGUCUGCACGGUUUUUGCUGAAUUUCGGAAAUAAUAGGGCAUCUAUUCAUGAGGUUUUAGCCAAUAAAACGCUGUCAAUGUCAGUAGGAAAGCAGAUUGCUAACAGGUUCGACAGAAGAUGGUGGUGCGAAAUAUUCCAAUAUUCUGGACACAAGCGACCUUUCCACCGCUCCAUUCAUAGCGAAGAACGUGCAAAACCCAGGGGGGCAGUUGACCCGUGACAAAGCCCCGGUUAUCAUUUCUCUGAAGGACAGGCACCUACGUUUAUCUGACAACAUUGACAUUUGCCCACCAGUUGCGUCGGUUGAUAUUUUGAAAGUCUGUGAAAUGGACAACCCACCUCUUAGAAUGGCAACUAUGCAGCGGACCACACCAUUUUCCACAGAGGCUCACACGCCGGACGGCAGAGCCAUCACCAUGGUAAACGCCAAGACCCAGACUGGGAGUGGGCGGAGACGAUGCUCACCGGCAGCUGUCGAGUUCAAAGCCAGCAGAAGACGUUUGAGCCAGAAGUCUUGGUGGAAUCACAGGCGGGUAUUGUUGUGGGGUGUGACUCAGAGAAUGAAGAGACGUGUGGACAAGGAGAAUGAGUGCAGCAUAUCGAUUGUGGGGCCACCUUCCCUGUUGCCAUACCGACCUGAAUCAAAACAACCUCCUUUUCAUUUCGAAGAGGAAGUCUCCAUCUCUUCUUCCUCAACUUAUUAUCUUUACACCUGUGGCGCUUCUUGCUUUUAAAAAGACGUUUUUGUCUUUCACACACAUUGUAGCAUGGCAAGAUUUUUGCAUAAUUCGGAGGAGUGAGUGAGGGAUGAUGUUCUCUAUGUCCCAGUGUUGACCCGGUCCUGUGGGCCUCGACUGGAACUUGGAAUAGAGUUUCUUCCAUGCCAGUACUGCCAGCAACCCAGUAAGCUCUUCGUAAGCCGCCAACAAUUGGAAAAGAAUCCUCACCAGGAUUUUCCCUUUUGCUGUGAGCAGGCGAAAAAAAUCAGCAAGUUACUCCUAGAAACAGAGGUGAACAGAAAGAUGGACGUGGCCCCUCACCCACCAUUUACGAGCAAAC